CGUGGAUUGGCAUACCCAUGUUGUCAGCCAUGGAUUGGCAUAACUAUGUUGUCAGCUGUUGAUUGGUCAGCCUAUGUUGUCAGUCAUGGAUUUGCAUACAAUGAACUUAUAUUGUUAGACAUGGAUUGGCAUACCUAUACUGUUAGCCAUGGAUUGGCAUACCUAUGUUGUCAGCCGUGGAUUGGCAUACCUAUGUUGUCAGCCAUGGAUUGGCAUACUUAUGUUGUUAGCCAUGGAUUGACAUACCUAUAUUCUCAUAUUGUCAGCCAUUGAUGGAUUUACCUAUGUUGUCAGCCAUGGAUUGACAUACCUAUGUUAUACGCCAUGGAUUGACAUACCUAUGUUGUCAGCCAUGUAUUGGCAUACCUAUGUUGUCAGAUAUCG
rnacentral:lncRNA from 1 species